GAUGAACGCUGGCGGCGUGCUUAACACAUGCAAGUCGAGCGAAGCACCUAAGAAAGAUUCUUCGGAUGAAUUCUUUUGUGACUGAGCGGCGGACGGGUGAGUAACGCGUGGGUAACCUGCCUCAUACAGGGGGAUAACAGGUAUAAAUGACUGCUAAUACCGCAUAAGACCACGGUACCGCAUGGUACAGUGGUAAAAACUCCGGUGGUAUGAGAUGGACCCGAGUCUGAUUAGCUAGUUGGUGGGGUAACGGCCUACCAAGGCGACGAUCAGUAGCCGACCUGAGAGGGUGACCGGCCACAUUGGGACUGAGACACGGCCCAAACUCCUACGGGAGGCAGCAGUGGGGAAUAUUGCACAAUGGGGGAAACCCUGAUGCAGCGACGCCGCGUGAAGGAUGAAGUAUUUCGGUAUGUAUACUUCUAUCAGCAGGGGAGAAAAUGACGGUACCUGACUAAGAAGCCCCGGCUAACUACGUGCCAGCAGCCGCCGUAA
rnacentral:rRNA from 1 species